rnacentral:lncRNA from 1 species
CUAUUAUAAACUAUUUUAUUAAAUAUUAGUAAUAAAUACAUACAUUUUUGUUUGUAAAGGAUAAAAGGAUACAAAUGUGACAACUAAGAUAUCUCAAAUAUAUUGGCACCUCAAAGAAGCCACAUAAGAAGUAUCUUAAUGAAAAAUAUUAAAUAUAAGGCAUAAAAUAAGGAUACAAAGAAAUUUGGGGGACUAGACCAAAACCAAAUGUGUAAGAAUCCCUCUGCCUCAUUAAAAACCUUAUCAAGGGAAAAAGAGUGCAGAGAUCCUACUUAUUUUAAGAUAAACUUAUAGAAACACAUAUUGGUACAUGUUUGGACAGGCAGUGAGUUUGGUUGAAUCAUGGUAUACCAAUGUGGUUUUGGCAAAACAACACUUUGGAACUUCAACAAAAUCACUAUGCAACCAUCCUUUCGCCAAACUCACCGCCAAUACAUCCAUAUACUACUUAGAAACAACACUAGGAGGAGGUUUAAAUUCAAAUUUCAAGUUAUUGAAGGUUUAUAUACAAAGCCAUUCAAUGAAGUGGCCCUUAGGCUAUCAUUUACUGAAGCCAAUUUAAGUUAACAUCAACAUGAGGAACCUCUAUCUUCAUAUUGGGAAGCAUAUCUUGGAAAGCUUCCCAUGAAGCAGCCGUCUCUUCAUCGCACGUUAUCACCUUCAAAUUCGUAAGAUUGACGAC